UUAAGUUAAGGAAUAGGCUAUUAGGUUAGAAUUUAGGUUUUAAUUUUAGAUUUAGUUUUAAUUAGAUUUUAUUUUUGUAAAUUUUUUUUCUAAUUUUCAACUUGGAUUUGAUUUGAGUCCAAGACUUUGUUUUUACGUAUUUUUAUAUUUUUCUUUUACUUCCUGCUUAUUUAUAUCGACAUCUCCAUGUUUGUUAAAGGAUUUCG
rnacentral:lncRNA from 1 species